UAGGGAAUCUUCGGCAAUGGGGGCAACCCUGACCGAGCAACGCCGCGUGAGUGAAGAAGGUUUUCGGAUCGUAAAGCUCUGUUGUAAGAGAAGAACGUGUGUGAGAGUGGAAAGUUCACACAGUGACGUUAACUUACCAGAAAGGGACGGCUAACUACGUGCCAGCAGCCGCGGUAAUACGUAGGUCCCGAGCGUUGUCCGGAUUUAUUGGGCGUAAAGCGAGCGCAGGCGGUUUAAUAAGUCUGAAGUUAAAGGCAGUGGCUUAACCAUUGUUCGCUUUGGAAACUGGUAAACUUGAGUGCAGAAGGGGAGAGUGGAAUUCCAUGUGUAGCGGUGAAAUGCGUAGAUAUAUGGAGGAACACCGGUGGCGAAAGCGGCUCUCUGGUCUGUAAAUGACGCUGAGGCUCGAAAGCGUGGGGAGCAAACAGG
rnacentral:rRNA from 1 species